AACGAACGCUGGCGGCAGGCCUAACACAUGCAAGUCGAACGCCCCGCAAGGGGGAGUGGCAGACGGGUGAGUAACGCGUGGGAACGUACCCUUCGGUUCGGGAUAACUCAGGGAAACUUGAGCUAAUACCUGAUACGUCCGAGAGGAGAAAGAUUUAUCGCCGAGGGAUCGGCCCGCGUCUGAUUAGCUUGUUGGUGAGGUAACGGCUCACCAAGGCGACGAUCAGUAGCUGGUCUGAGAGGAUGAUCAGCCACAUUGGACUGAGACACGGCCCAAACUCCUACGGGAGGCAGCAGUGGGGAAUAUUGGACAAUGGGCGCAAGCCUGAUCCAGCCGUGCCGCGUGAGUGAUGAAGGCCCUAGGGUUGUAAA
rnacentral:rRNA from 1 species